GGAAGGGAGCAGAGAUGAGCGGAUUCUGAAUGCGUGCGAGGUUGGG
rnacentral:SRP_RNA from 1 species